rnacentral:lncRNA from 1 species
GUGUUUCUAUGAGGGGAGCCCUUGGCAUUACUGAGCUCAGUCCUCAUUCCAGACCCACACCAUUCAGGGACAAUCCAGCUCGAUGGGGACGUGUGACAUGUGGGGAUCCAGACAGUGCAUCUUGGUGAGCUGUGAUCCUGAGAGUGUUGUGUGGAGACCUGGAGACAUCCCUGUGGCCCUGUGCUCUCAGGGACAAUUUUUCAAACAACCUGGACUCAAAUCUGACCUUGAGGAUUGUGUUUGCUUCAGGUACAUCAAAAAGGGCUCUGGAGAUGCAGUGAGGAGUCUGUUCAGAACACAGCCGAGGAAGAGGAUACUGAAGCCCGCCUGCAGUUCAAAUCCCAGCUCUGCCACCCUGCAGCUGUGAGACCUUGAGCAGCACUCAGCCUCUCUGUGCUUCAGCCCUGUCCUGUGCGGAGUGACUGGAAAUGUCUGUCUCUUGGGUCAUUCUGGUGAUGAGAAUUGAGCCUAGCAGCAUGUCUAAGCGACCUUUUGCUUUUGUUGCUGUUGGUUUGGAAUUGAAAUGGUUCACUUUUGAUAAAAGCAGGGUAACAAAGCUUAGUGAACUUGGGAAAGAAAGCAAUUUAGUCAUAAAUCCAGGCAAAAAGCUUGUAUAUAAAAUUAAACAUAAAGCAG